GUGGUGUAGUGGUAUUAACACGCGUCCUCGCCAUGGAUGAAACACGGGUUCGAUUCCCGGUUACCG